AAACAUUCAGUGUCUCCUCCCUCUGCAUGCAGACACUUAACUUUCCUCAUAGAGAUUCAUUGAUUCAAUCCAUCUCUAUGAGGAGAUGCUGAUUGGCCAGGGCUGUGUUUGAAUCAUGCUGGCUCUGCACCCGAUCUGCCUCCUUGUCAGUCGCAGCCAAUCCUAUGGGGAAGCAUUGUGAUUGGAUCAGGCCACCACUUCUAAUGAUGUCAGCAAACUGCUUGUUUUUCUGAGUCUAACAGCAUGCAGAGUUACAGCUUCAGGCUUGAAUACAGUAAUAUUUUGCUAUAUUCAUGGAGGCAUGAGGGGCCCAGGGGGGCUAGAUGGUGGUGUUAACAAUAUAAGGUCAGGAAUACAUGUUUGUGUUCCUGACCCUAUAGUGAUCCUUUAAUUUCACUUUGAUUUCACUAGGCAUUCAUUCACUAAGUGAGCUGCUUCCUGCUCAUGCUCUAAGUUUUCGUUUUAAG